CCUACGGGAGGCUGCAGUGGGGAAUAUUGGACAAUGGGGGCAACCCUGAUCCAGCCAUGCCGCGUGUGUGAAGAAGGCCCUCGGGUUGUAAAGCACUUUCAGUGAGGAAGAACGCCUGGUGGUUAAUACCCAGCAGGAAAGACAUCACUCACAGAAGAAGCACCGGCUAACUCCGUGCCAGCAGCCGCGGUAAUACGGAGGGUGCGAGCGUUAAUCGGAAUUACUGGGCGUAAAGCGCGCGUAGGUGGCUUGAUAAGCCGGUUGUGAAAGCCCCGGGCUCAACCUGGGAACGGCAUCCGGAACUGUCAAGCUAGAGUGCAGGAGAGGAAGGUAGAAUUCCCGGUGUAGCGGUGAAAUGCGUAGAGAUCGGGAGGAAUACCAGUGGCGAAGGCGGCCUUCUGGACUGACACUGACACUGAGGUGCGAAAGCGUGGGUAGCAAACAGGAUUAGAUACCCGAGUAGUC
rnacentral:rRNA from 1 species